UGCGUAGGCGGGCAGAUAAGUCAGAGGUGAAAGCUCACGGCCUAACCGUGGAAUUGCCUUUGAAACUGUUUGCCUUGAAUCAGGUUGAGGUUAGCGGAAUGUGACAUGUAGCGGUGAAAUGCAUAGAUAUGUCAUAGAACACCAAUUGCGUAGGCAGCUGACUGGACCUGUAUUGACGCUGAGGCACGAAAGCGUGGGGAGCGAACAGGAUUAGAUACCCUGGUAGUCC
rnacentral:rRNA from 1 species